AUGUGCUACCAUACAUCACCUUACUUAAUCUCCUGAUUGGUCUUUCUGUCCGCUCUGCCUCUUCGUUCAGCUGAUAUGCUAAUUUUUCAACUUCGUCCUUAAUUUUUGCACACCAGUGUACACAAAGCAUCCUAUGACUCUAAGCCUGCAGAGUAUCCUAUGAUGGUAUUGACAGUUCAAGAACACUGGCUACUUAUAUAAAGGCAAGAACCCCAGAUGGCCAGUCAUUUCCAAUGAAACAGUGCAAAAAUUUAGUUUCACAUAUAAAUUAGUAACUGAGCUAUAGGAAACUUGCAUUAGCCCCUUAUUAAAUUUAUAUCUAAGCUAUAAUAGAUACAACUUAUUCUUUUUGUUUAGACUCAGAAAAUGCUGCUGCUGAAUCUACACAUGCAUGUAUAAUGAAUGGUUAACAUUCAUACCUAUUUUUUUUUUAAAACUAUUUGAAGAAAGAUUUAAUUGCAGUUUGUUCACAUACAGCUGGUGUGAUAUUAAGAAGGGAAAAAAAGUAGCUGUAAUCAAACUUUUAGAUAUUUUUCUUAAUAUUGUAAUUUAUCACUGUAUACUGCUUAGCUUCUUAUUUACAGUAGUAUCACAAGAUUCAGUAAGUAAAACCAUUAAAGAAAUCAUUUUGAAAUAUUUCUUGAUACAUUAUAUGCAUUUUAUCACCAAUCAAUGAGAUUAACCCUCCAAAAUCAAUGAGAUUAACCUGAGACUGGUAAUGGUAAACGUAUUGAAAUAUUUAAAAAUUGAUAUUUUGUGAUUUAUUGGUAAAAGAUAUUACGUUUUUCUCAUUCAUAUACAAUUAUUAGUAUUUUCUGUUUUUGUAAAAAAUAUAACAGUUCAUUAGAAUUGCAUAAGUUGUUUAUAUAGAAUAAAAUGCAAACUCUUUGUCAAGUUUUUCAUAGCUCACCACUGCAUGUAAUCCACAAACAGGAUAGGUCUACAAAUUACAUUAGUAGCAAAUAUGUGUUCUAUAACCAAACAUAGGGAAGAUUUUGCAAUGUUGAUUACAACUAAAACCAUAUUAUUUACAGAUGCUGCAAUAUAAAUUUUGCAAUCGUAUGCAUGGAAGACAAUUCUUCCACUAUCUAGUGGUGAAGCAUUUGUUGGAUAGGUACGUUUGUGUACUGGACAUGGAAAAUUGUCAUGCUGUUACUGAAUAGAAAUUAUAUUUACUUGAACAUUUUAUAUGCCAUUUCACUGAUAAAGGUACAUGGGUCCUUUUUUUCUACAGAAACACUGUAAAAGAAGAUGACUCAAUGUUGUUCAGAUGACCAUGAGAUCAUUGACCAUACACUCCGUAAUCUUUUGCUUUUGGAAUGUGCUUUAGACUAUAUUUAUAUGCUCCUAUUGCUAAUAAUAUAUCAAAACUCCAAGACUGCAUUAUAGCUCCUUUGGUGACCAUCAGCAGGGAAAUUUUACUAUGUUUAUGGAUAGAAUUGUGAUACCCGGUGGAUAUGUGUCCUGUACCAACAGGAACACACAAUGACCUUUAUGGUAUUAUGUCAAAUUUGAUGAACUUUUAUUUCAUUUCAUGUAGUAAUCAUUUUUUAUCUGUAAUAUGUUACAGAAUAAAACAUUUUAAAACUUACAAA
rnacentral:lncRNA from 1 species